rnacentral:rRNA from 1 species
GACGAACGCUGGCGGCGUGCUUAACACAUGCAAGUCGAACGGAAAGGCCCUGCUUUUGUGGGGUGCUCGAGUGGCGAACGGGUGAGUAACACUUGAGUUACCUGCCCUUGACUUUGGGAUAACUUCAGGAAACUGGGGCUAAUACCGGAUAGGAGCUCCUGCUUCUUGGUGGGGGUUGGAAAGUUUCGGCGGUUGGGGAUGGACUCGCGGCUUAUCAGCUUGUUGGUGGGGUAGUGGCUUACCAAGGCUUUGACGGGUAGCCGGUCUGAGAGGGUGACCGGCCAAAUUGGGACUGAGAUACGGCACAGACUCCUACGGGAGGCAACAGUGGGGAAUAUUGCACAAUGGGCGGAAGCAUGAUGCAGCAAAGCCGCGUGCGGGAUGACGGCCUUCGGGUUGUAAACCGCUUUCGCCUGUGACGAAGCGUGAGUGACGGUAAUGGGUAAAGAAGCACCGGCUAACUACGUG